GCCACCUACUCCUUCCUCCCUGCCGCCGCCACUCUCUCCCGUUUGGUUUCUCCUCCAUCCGCUCGUGUCGGCCACGCAAACCUCCGCCUUUCACUGCCUUGUGCCGUCGCCAAGACCUGGGACAACAUCGACGUCCGCACCUUUCCCACCUCCAUCUCGAGCUCGCGCCCCUCCACGCUUAGUCCGCAAGCUCGUCGUCAGGGACUCCGUCGCCCCAGCACGCGCUGCUGCAACCGCGUUCGCCAAGCUUCGACUCCGGACGUGUGCGCGCUCCAGCCGUCUCUGUACGUCGCCAAGAUCACGGCGUGCAACACCUACAACCGCCGGCUCAUGUUCGUCCGCUCCAAGCACUGCGGUGCUGCUCCGACGUUCGCGUUCUGCACCUCCGCGCAUCCGCUUCUCGACCAUGCCCGGCCUCCUCCCAGUCCUCCUUGAGGUCCUGCAUCAACGUCCAUCACUGCGCCGUCUUCCACGUCGUCGUCGCAGCACCUCCGCCCCGGCGCCAUACGUCUCCAACCUCACACGUUCCUAACGCAAGGGAUCGAUGCCUCUGCAUCUUGCCGCACGCCUCGACGUCCAGCCGUUUCCCACCGUCGCCGGGCGCCGCCAGUACCUGCUUCCGGUCGUCCUCGACCAUGGCGCCGAUGCACCCCGUCACCGGCGCUGCGUCAACCGCCAAGGUCAUCCUCCAGGACAUCAGUAACUUGCCCGCCCGUCUCCAAGCACGCCAUAGCUUCCAACCGUCGACAUCCGCUCCAGAAGCUCAUGCUCGACGCCUCCACGUUGUACCGUCUUCGCCGACAGUCGCUCGCCCCAGCCUUCUUCCCCCUCGCCUCAAGGUCAUCGUCCCCGUCUGCUUCCAUGUUGGCCAAGUCCAAGGCGUGGCCUUUCUGCAUCUCGAGCUGGCUGCGUAUCCGUGUGUCAACACAAGCACCCCAACAACGCUCUAGUUUGUUGCUUCAUCAUUUAUUUUCGCCGCUCUUCGAAUCCCAUCCCCGGCAUAUGCCGGAACUUUUCUCUUUUGUUUCUCUAUGUCAACGACAGCAGGAUCCGUGCAUCGGAUCGUAGCUCGCCGGUCGGCCAUGGCUAACCGCCUUGCGUGGGUUGCAUGCUCCCGUCCACCUGCGCGCAGCGCCUGCCCCUGCUCCUUCCCAUCGACCUGCUCACGCGCCCUCGCGCCGCAGCACACGGACAUCCAUGUCCCGUGGCCGUGUAGCUCAGUCUGCCAACAUUGCCAUUCAGUUUCCUUCAAAGAGCUGCGCGCGAUCAACUGUUCAUCAUCCAGAGUUGAAGCAGAGUGCUCGGCCCCGCUUGUCAAUCUCAGCUGGCGCCACCUCUGCAUCUUGCUUCCCUGUCAGCAUCCAGUCACCGCCGGUCCCACGUGUCAGCCGCACUGGAUGUCUUGUUCUUCGCUUUUGCUUCUUCACGGAUAGGCCGUUGAGUUGAUGCGAGCUACGACAAGUUCUCCGGAAGUUCCUCGACAAUCUUUAACAGGCAAGCAUUUCCACACUCAUGUCUCUGCAGGAGUCUUUUACCUAUUUUAUUUUGCCGUCUCUCUCAUUCUAGCCUUGAGUUGCGUUCUUGUAACGUGUCCUAUCCACUUGUUACCUUAAGCAGCCCAUAUUGCCUCCACCUCCCUCCUACAGCUAUUGUUUGGUUAUUGGGUCUGCCUUGCGAGUCGUAGUGCAUGCUUAAUGUCGUUAUAUAUCGUUUCGCCAUCGUUAUCUUUUCGGGUUAUCUGUUGGGUUGUUGGGAGGUUAUCACAUGCUAUAUUAGUUGUUGGUAAUACUCAUUCUUUACUUUAUUGUUAACAACUAAAAUUAUAUGCAGUGGCAUCUGUAAGCCCCUUUGCGAAAGCAUCGGAUCUUUGUCUCGCUAAUGUCCCCUAGGACCCGAGUUCUUGUUAUCUGUUACGAGAUUGAGCGUUCUACCCGUACGUGGGGAUGAUUAUCGGGACCCCCCCCCCCUCACCCAUUAUCUUUUCUCAAGUCUGUUGAAAAGGGGGCCACAACCUUGGUUUUAUUUGCCUAUGUCUUGUAUUCCAUGCUUUACUUACUGUUGCCUUCAGGUGUUUACAUUCUCUUGGCUUCAGGCGGUUUAUAUUAUGUACUGUACCUCGCGGGACGUUUAGCGAAGCGUGUGGUUUGCACGCCUAGCCGCCGUCGCAAACCCUGAGUCCGCUUCGGAGUACGGCCGAACUUUGAUACGGGUAGCUUAGUCGGGUGGCCCCCCUAGACUUUCUUAUUGAACUGGGAACGGUCUUGUUGUGAGACUCCGUCUGUCGUAAGCGGGUCGAGCAUGCAUAUGGUUACAUUUGGGCAACCCCUGCAGGGUGUACAUCUUAUCGAUAAGCCGUGUCCGCGGUUAUGGACGACUUGUAGCUGUUUAACUCGAUCAUAGAACAACUUACACCUUUAUGUUGCUGCUAAUAAUCUGUUAAUAACUUGCGUAGUAAUUUAGCGUUACUACAAUUGAUAUCUAAUAAAAAAAAUUCAACCGUGUGAGUGCCUUUGCAAGUACUUCCUUUGCGAAGGGGGGAACACAUCGGCUGGGUUAUGUUUGCAGAGUAUAAAACUAUUAGUGCGCUCUCUCAUCUAUUUCUAGCACCUGUAAGUUGAGAGUGUCUCUAUAGGUUUUAGUGUUUGCGCGUUGCCUCUUAACCCCACCAUAUUGCCUAUGACGUCCUCUUGCGUCCUCUAAGUCCCCUGCGUGCCUCAAUGUUGGGGGGAUAACCCCCGGUAUGCCAAAGGCAUGCCAAACUUGGCCGGAUUAGGCUGUUGAGGUACCGGUUUAGCAGUUAUUCCGGAUAACAAAGAUAAGCUUAGGGCUAAGUGAAUCUAUACCGGUAUCCCAGAGGGUAUACCGGAAUAGACUAAGAAGGUACCGGAAUACCGGUACAGGCUACACUGUAGCACGUCGGCAAGCUGGUCAAAGAUUCUCUCAAGAGCUAGAGGACAAGGAUGAGCGAAGCACUUCAGCUUUAAUCGAAGCUCUGAGGCCAAAGCAGAAGAUGACGUAAAAGCUACCGGAAGAGGUCACCGUUCCUGAUUAAAGGUCUACCGGCGUCACCUGCUGCCAAAGAGGCUUUGUAAAGUAGUUUGUCUAGUCAAAGAUGCCAUUAGGGUUUCCUAGGGUUUCUUCCCUUGUAAGCCACCCUCUCCCCUAUAUAAGGAGAGGGGGCACACCCAUGCGCGGGGUGACUGAUAGCCUGUAACUUCAUUCUUUCAUCGAAUAGAGAGAUCCAAGGUUGAGCCAGUUCUUGUGUUAUUCUUCUUCAACCUCUGGCCAAGGCCAAGUUCUUCUAGAAAGCAUCCGGCAUUCCAUCCGGAAUCCAUCCAAACCUUACCAAAACCCUCCCCCGAAUCCUCUAGCGCACAUUCGGCCCCAACUCAAGCCAUCCCAUGGCAUC